rnacentral:rRNA from 1 species
UACGGAGGGUGCAAGCGUUAUCCGGAUUCACUGGGUUUAAAGGGUGCGUAGGUGGAGUGGUAAGUCAGUGGUGAAAUCUCCAAGCUUAACUUGGAACUGCCGUUGAUACUAUCAUUCUUGAAUAUCGUGGAGGUAAGCGGAAUAUGUCAUGUAGCGGUGAAAUGCUUAGAUAUGACAUAGAACACCGAUUGCGGAGGCAGCUUGCUACACAGUCAUUGACACUGAGGCACGAAAGCGUGGGGAUCAAACAGG